rnacentral:ncRNA from 1 species
UAUUUUCAGGGCGGGGCGAAAUUCCCCACCGGCAGUAAAAGGCUGAGUCGCCUUAAAGUCUGCGAACCGCGCGAGCGGCUGAAUCGGUGAGAUUCCGAUACCGACGGUCAAAGUCCGGAUGAGAGAAAAUG